AUUUAGCUGAGGAGGUCCACUUUUUUGACAAAAUAAAGGAUAUUUUGGACGAAAAGAAGACAAAUCACCAAAUCUUGAUUCACCUGCAGCGUGUCGCAGAGGAGAAAUACAUUCAUUCACAUGGAUUGAAGUAGAAUUUGCUGAUCUGACAUCUGUUAAUCUCAAGACUACUUUCUUCAAUGGGCUGGAUCAGUAUCUACCAGGGCUACUAGACCUGUACGAGGCCACGGCUGGGACGCUAGCUGGACUGAGCAAGCUGUUCUGAAGUAAGUUUACUUCGGCCCAAUCCGAAAUUCUU